rnacentral:lncRNA from 1 species
UGGGUGAUGGGUGAUGGGUGGCCUCGCGUUGCAGAGUCCCCGCGUCUCGGUCCUACAGGCCAGAAGUCUGUAACCAGUUUCACUGGGCUAAAGUCGAGAAUCCAAGAUCAUCUCUCCAACUCAAAAUCCUUAAUUCAAUCUCAUCUGCUGUCUUUGUCAUAUAAGGAUGUGGGAGAGGGCAGCUGGGCUGAGCUUGGCUGAACUGAGCAAGUGCGGAACUGCUCAAGCCCUGAGUUCUCCCAGACUCUGCAGCUUGAGUACCACUUUGAAACAGUCCAGAAGCUCCUAUUUGGCAUCUAUGACAUAGACAACAAGACACCUGAGCUGGGGGAUGAUGACUUCCUAGGAGGGGCUGAGUGUUCCCUAGGACAGAUUGUGUCCAGCC